rnacentral:rRNA from 1 species
CAGAGUGGGCAAGCGUUAUUCGGAAUUAUUGGGCGUAAAGGGCGCGUAGGCGGCUUGGCAAGUGGGUGGUGAAAUCCCUCGGCUUAACCGAGGAACUGCCGUCCAAACUGCUUCGCUUGAGACCGGGAGAGGUGAGUGGAAUUCCCAGUGUAGCGGUGAAAUGCGUAGAUAUUGGGAGAAACACCAGUGGCGAAGGCGGCUCACUGGACCGGUACUGACGCUGAUGCGCGAAAGCGUGGGGAGCAAACGGG